rnacentral:misc_RNA from 1 species
GUGAAUCAUCAAAUCUUUGAACGCAAAUUGCACUCUCUUCGGAGAGUAUGCCUGUUUGAGGGUCAGCCUAAAAAAAAUCGACAUAGUUGCUGUUACGCGGUAACAUUCGUCGGAAAGGGGGGCAUCGGAAACCUUGGGGGUUAAGCGGCUUAAAAGUUGCUUGACGAGUCCAAGAACGUUUCUAAGAUUUUAGGGGCGGUGACGUGGAAGGGAGCGAGCGGGAGGAGACGG